rnacentral:lncRNA from 1 species
GUGUGCUGAGCUACAUCAUUGAAAGAAUCUGAUGUAGCCAUUUGCAUUUAAGGGUUAAACAGCAGAUUGUUAAGCUGUCUGGUACUUUGUUUUGGUUUUGAAAGGAUCUUCAUACCUUGUUUCUUCAGCCAUUCAUAGUUUAGGGUGCUUGCAACUUAUCUCUUCAAAACAGAGAAGACAAGAAGGGGUUGGGUUGGGGGUUUGCAUUCACUACAGCUUACUGGUUUGUGCUGGAGCAGUCCUACAUCACUCACUUUGUUUUUGUUUUCCUCCUCUUCAUAUAUUUCUCCGCUACCUUUAAUUGUUUUGUUUUAGUGAUCAAGAUCUAAUUUGUAUGAAAUCUUAGGUAAGUGUCUUUAGUCAGCACAUUUUUGUGUAAAUGGCUGUAAUUCAUAUCUUAAUUUGUGUGAAAACGAUGUACCGGU